rnacentral:misc_RNA from 1 species
GGAAGGAUCAUUAUAUUUUUUGUGGGGUAAAUGCUGUGAAUGGAUGUGGCAUCUCUAGCUGUUUGCGGAAGGGCGAGGGGUCUAUUGGCCGACCGUCUGUAGGUCACUAGGCCCCUGUGCUCUGAUGUAGAUGUGAGUUGUCUGGUUGAACGAGGCUUUUUGAAACUUUUAUUUUUUUGGACUAUAAAGCAUACCGAAUUGUAAAGGUAUUAGCAACGGAUACCUCGGUUCUCACAACGAUGAAGAACGCAGCGAAACGCGAUAUGUCAUGCGAAUUGCAGAAUUUAGUGAAUCAUCCAAUCUUUGAACGCAAGUUGCGCUUUUGGGUAUUCCUGAGAGCAUGCCUCUUUGAGUAUCGUCUCAAUGAAUUCUAUGCAUUGUGUGUAGGGAUUUCGCGGGUCAUAGUGACUUGUCAGAUCGAUGUGUGUGUCAGAUCGAUGUGUGUGUCAGAUCGAUGUGUGUGUGUGUGUGGAUGCAUCUCCUCUGUGAAGAAUGGUUUCAAUGUUUGCAUUGUGUCAUGACUCUGGAAAAGAGUACUCCCUCCACCCUAGUCUCUUUUUUGAAAGAGAAAUAAAAAAUUAGAUCUCAAAUGAGGUAAGAGGACCCGCUGAAUUUAAGCAUAUAAGUAAGCGGAGGAAAAGAAACUAACUAGGAUUCCCCCAGUAACGGCGAGUGAAGAGGGAAGAGCUCAAACCGAAAAUCUCGGCAGUCUCUGCUGCGAAUUGUGGUCUACAGAAGCGUGGUCAGUGACGGUCCCGGCAAAAGUCUGUUGGAAUACAGCUGCAAAGAGGGUGAGACUCCCGUCUUGGGCUGGGAUCCCGUCGCGUACGAUCCGCUUUCGAAGAGUCGGGUUGCUUGGGAACGCAGCCUUAAAUGGGUGGUAAAUUCCAUCUAAAGCUAAAUAUAUGUGAGAGACCGAUAGCGAACAAGUACCGUGAGGGAAAGGUGAAAAGAACUUUGAAAAGAAAGUUAAAAGUACUUGAAAUUGCUAAUAUUGAAGCGAUAAGGACGAGUGCAUGGCGGUACCAUAUUUUUGUUGGUCGCAAGAUGAGCAAAUCCUGUGAGUGCCGCCUGUGUCAGAAUGGGUUGGUUGGGAGUUUGAGGGAGGUUGGGAAUGUAGAUACUUUUGUGUAUUGUUGCCCAGCUGUUCUAGACCCCUGACCGAUCGAGGUACGAUUCUGACGAAAUGGUCCUUAUCGGCCCGUCUUGAAACACGGACCAAGGAGUCUAACGUAUAUGCGAGUCUUUGAGUGGAAAACUCGAGGGCGCAAUGAAAGUAAAGUCGUCUCUUACGAGUGGAUGAGAUGUUUUACCUUUCUAGGUAUCCGCAUCGCCCGGCUUCUCCAUUGUGAGGGGUUCGAGGUCGAGCAUAUCCGUUAGGACCCGAAAGAUGGUGAACUAUGCCUGAGCAGGGUGAAGCCAGGGGAAACUCUGGUGGAGGCUCGUAGCGAUACUGACGUGCAAAUCGUUCGUCGGACUUGGGUAUAGGGGCGAAAGACUAAUCGAACCAUCUAGUAGCUGGUUCCCUU